rnacentral:rRNA from 1 species
UCGCCUGUUUAUCAAAAACAUCGUUGAAAAAUAAUUUCAAUAGGAUCUGCCCAGUGUUUAAAUAAACGGCCGCAGUAUCUUAACUGUGCUAAGGUAGCAUAAUCAUUUGUCUUUUAAUUGAAGACUGGAAUAAACGAUCUGACGAGAGAUUGCCUGUCUCUGUAUUUCAUCUAAUUUACUUAAAAGGUAAAAAAGCCUUUAAUACCUAAAAGGACGACAAGACCCUAUAAAACUUUACUUUCAACUGUCCUAGUAUCUCAGAAACCAAUUCGACUUUACAGAGCUAAGCUGGGGCGGCUAAUUUUAUUACAAUCAAAAUUUAAUCCAACAUCGUGAAUGAAGAGUAACAAACCUUUCACAAUUAAUAACAAGUUACUUUAGGGAUAACAGCGUAAAAUUUCUUAAGAGUUCUUAUCGUCAGAAAUGUAUACGACCUCGAUGUUGAAUUGGAUUACCUCGGUGAAGCAAUCCUCACUUAAGGAAGACUGUUCGUCUUGUAAGCUUCCACAUGAUCUGAG